GGAUUAAGAAACUCACUCAAAACCGCUCAACUACAUGGAAACUGAACAACCUGCUCCUAAAUGACUACUGGGUACAUAACGAAAUGAAGGGAGAAAUAAAGAUGUUCUUUGAAACCAAUGAGAACAAAGACACAAAGCAAUGGCAACAGAAGCCAAAAUUGACAAAUGGGAUCUAAUUAAACUAAAGAGCUUCUGCAAGCAAAAGAAACUACCAUCAGAGUGAACAGGCAACCUACAGAAUGGGAGAAAAUUUUUGUAAUCUACUCAUCUGACAAAGGGCUAAUAUUCAGAAUCUACAAUGAACUCCAACAAAUUUACAAGAAAAAAACAAACAACCCCAUCAAAAAGUGGGCAAAGGAUAUGAACAGCCACUUCUCAAAAGAAGGCAUUUAUGCAGCCAAAAGACACAUGAAAAAAUGCUCAUCAUCACUGGCCAUCAGAGAAAUGCAAAUCAAAACCACAAUGAGAUACCGUCUCACACCAGUUAGAAUGGUGAUCAUUAAAAAGUCAGGAAACAACACGUGCUGGAGAGGAUGUUGAGAAAUAGGAACACUUUUACACUGUUGGUGGGAC
rnacentral:lncRNA from 1 species